rnacentral:rRNA from 1 species
ACGCUGGCGGCGUGCCUAACACAUGCAAGUCGAACGGAGUUAUCUGGAUCAAGGCUUCGGCCAAGUGAAUUUUAACUUAGUGGCGAACGGGUGAGUAACGCGUGAGCAACCUGCCUUUCAGAGGGGGACAACAGUUGGAAACGACUGCUAAUACCGCAUAACGCAUUCGAGGGGCAUCCCUUGAAUACCAAAGCUGAGGCGCUGAAAGAUGGACUCGCGUCUGAUUAGAUAGUUGGUGAGGUAACGGCUCACCAAGUCGACGAUCAGUAGCCGGACUGAGAGGUUGAACGGCCACAUUGGGACUGAGACACGGCCCAGACUCCUACGGGAGGCAGCAGUGGGGAAUAUUGCGCAAUGGGCGGAAGCCUGACGCAGCGACGCCGCGUGCGGGACGAAGGCCCUCGGGCCGUAAACCGCUUUCAGCGGGGACGAUAGUGACGGUACCCGCAGAAGAAGCCCCGGCUAACUACGUG